GGUAUCGUGCAAGGUUAAGCGGAAAACGUGGAGCCGAAGCGAAAGCGAGUCUUAAUAGGGCGCGAGUACGAUGCUAUAGACCCGAAACCAAGCGAUCUAUUCAUGAGCAGGUUGAAGUAAGGGUGAAACCUUAUGGAGGACCGAACCAACUUCUGAUGCAAUAGGAGUGGAUGACUUGUGAAUAGCGGAGAAAUUCCAGUCGAGCUUGGAAAUAGCUGGUUCUCCCCGAAAUAGGUUUAGGCCUAGCCUUCUAAUUAGCUACCUGGAGGUAAAGCACUGAAUAUGGAAGGGCCGCACCUAGCGGUACUAACUGUAAUCAAACUCUGAAUGCCAGGAUAGUAUGUAGAGGAGUCAGUGUAUGGGUGAUAACGUCCAUACGCGAAAGGAAAUGAAUCCAGACCGUCAGUUAAGGUCCCAAAAUUUAUGCUAAGUGGAAAACGAUGUGGAGCUGCUAGAACAGCUAGGAGGUUGGCUCAGAAGCAGCCACCCUUUAAAGAGUGCGUAAUAGCUCACUAGUCGAGUGGCUCUGCGCGGAAUAUGUACCGGGGCUAAGCAUAAUACCGAAACUGCGGAUUCGUAAUUUAUUACGGAUGGUAGGGGAGCGUUCUAUGGGCGCUGAAGGUAGACCGUGAGGACUACUGGAGCGCAUAGAAGUGAGAAUGCCGGUGUGAGUAACGUAAGGAGGGUGAGAAUCCCUCCCACCGAUCGACUAAGGUUUCCUGGGUAAAGUUCGUCUCCCCAGGGUAAGUCGGGACCUAAGGCGAGGCCGAAAGGCGUAGUCGAUGGACAACAGGUUUAUAUUCCUGUACCACCUAUAUGACUGAUGGAGUGACGGAGAAAGCUAAGCAGGGCCGGUUAUUGGAUUCCGGUCUAAGCACAAAGGUAGAUGAAAUAAGUAAAUCUGUUCAUUGUUAUGCUGAAGUGUGAUGGCGACGAAUUCCUCGGAAUUUUAAGUCUGCUGACGCUAUGCUUCCAAGAAAAGCUUCUAAAGAUAUUAUAUAGGUGCCCGUACCAAGAACCGACACAGGUGGUCAAGGAGAGAAUCCUAAGGUGAGCGAGAUAACUAUGGUUAAGGAACUCGGCAAAAUAACCCCGUAACUUCGGGAGAAGGGGAGGUUUCUUCGGAAACCCGCAGGAAAUAGGUCCAGGCAACUGUUUAGCAAAAACACAGGUCUCUGCUAAAGCGUAAGCUGAUGUAUAGGGGCUGACGCCUGCCCAGUGCUGGAAGGUUAAGAGGAGAUGUUAGCUGGACGUAAGUCAAUAACAGCAAAGCUUCGAAUUGAAGCCCCAGUGAACGGCGGCCGUAACUAUAACGGUCCUAAGGUAGCGAAAUUCCUUGUCAGGUAAGUUCUGACCCGCACGAAAGGCGUAAUGAUCUGGAUACUGUCUCAACCAUAGACUCGGUGAAAUCUUAAUACCUGUGAAAAUGCAGGUUACCCGCAACAGGACGGAAAGACCCCAUGGAGCUUUACUACAGUUUGAUAUUGAAAUCAGGUAUGUCAUGUAGAGGAUAGGUGGGAGACUUUGAUGCUAAGGCGCCAGCCUUAGAGUAGUCAACCUUGGAAUACCACCCUUGAUAUAUUUGAUUUCUAACCUGCUACCGUUAUCCGGUAGGGGGACAGUGUCUGAUGGGUAGUUUGACUGGGGCGGUCGCCUCCCAAAAUGUAACGGAGGCGCCCAAAGGUUCCCUCAGAAUGGUUGGAAAUCAUUCGAAGAGUGUAAUGGCAGAAGGGAGCUUAACUGCGAGACCUACAAGUCAAGCAGAUGCGAAAGCAGGGCAUAGUGAUCUUGCGAUUCAGUAUGGAAUGGUCGUUGCUUAACGGAUAAAAGUUACCCUGGGGAUAACAGGCUGAUCCCACCCAAUAGUUCAUAUAGACGGUGGGGAUUGGCACCUCGAUGUCGGCUCGUCGUAUCCUGGAGGUGUAGUCGCUUCCAAGGGUUGGGCUGUUCGCCCAUUAAAACGGCACGCGAGCUGGGUUCAGAACGUCGUGAGACAGUUCGGUCCCUAUCCGUUGUGGGCGCUGGAAAAUUGAGGAGAGCUAUCCUUAGUACGAGAGGACCGGGAUGGACGUACCGAUGGUGUAUCAGUUGUCACGCCAGUGGCAGCGCUGAGUAGCUAUGUACGGAUGGGAUAACCGCUGAAAGCAUCUAAGCGGGAAGCCCUCUCCAAGAUGAGUUUUCCCUUUCUUUAAGAAAUAAGAUCCCAUGAAGACUACAUGGUUGAUAGGCUAGAGGUGGAAGAAUAGUGAUAUUUUGAGCUGACUAGUACUAAUAGAUCGACAAAUUAACUAA
rnacentral:rRNA from 1 species